rnacentral:rRNA from 1 species
UACAGAGGUCUCAAGCGUUGUUCGGAUUCAUUGGGCGUAAAGGGUGCGUAGGUGGCGCCGUAAGUCAGGUGUGAAAUUUCGGAGCUUAACUCCGAAACUGCAUUUGAUACUGCGGUGCUUGAGGACUGGAGAGGAGACUGGAAUUCACGGUGUAGCAGUGAAAUGCGUAGAUAUCGUGAGGAAGACCAGUGGCGAAGGCGGGUCUGCUGGGCCGAUACUGACGCUGAGGAGCGAAAGGCGUGGGGAGCGAACAGG